AUACGGAAGGUCCGGGCGUUAUCCGGAUUUAUUGGGUUUAAAGGGAGCGUAGGCUGGUAUUUAAGCGUGACGUGAAAUGUACGGGCUCAACCUGUGCCUUGCGUCGCGAACUGGGUCCCUUGAGUAAUCAGUAGGCGGGCGGGAUUCGUGGUGUAGCGGUGAAAUGCUUAGAUAUCACGAGGAACUCCGAUUGCGAAGGCAGCUCGCUGUUGUUUUACUGACGCUGAAGCUCGAAGGCGCGGGUAUCGAACAGGAUUAGAUACCCUGGUAGUCCGCGCGGUAAACGAUGGAUGCCCGCUGUGUGGCCAUUAGGUUGCGCGGCCAAGCGAAAGCGUUAAGCAUCCCACCUGGGGAGUACGCCGGCAACGGUGAAACUCAAAUGAAUUGACGGGG
rnacentral:rRNA from 1 species